CCGUCUAUAUACGUAUAGCAUAUCAAUAAGCGGAGGAAAAGAAACUAACUAGGAUUCCCUCAGUAACGGCGAGUGAAGCGGGAAGAGCUCAAAUUUGAAAUCUUCAAGGUUCUACCUUGACGAAUUGUAGUUUAAAGAAGUGUUUUCUGUUGGAGUUUUGGUAAAAGUUCUUUGGAAUAGGACAUCAUAGAGGGUGAGAAUCCCGUAUUUGACCAUUAUUUCCAACCUUGUGAUACACUUUCAAAGAGUCGGAUUGUUUGGGAAUGCAGUCCAAAAUGGGUGGUAAAUUUCAUCUAAAGCUAAAUAUUGGCGAGAGACCGAUAGCGAACAAGUACCGUGAGGGAAAGAUGAAAAGAACUUUGAAAAGAGAGUUAAACAGUACGUGAAAUUGUCAAAAGGGAAGCGUUUGACACCAGUGUUGUUUUCUCGAAAAUCAAUUAAAAAUGGUGGGAUUUUGUGUUGUAUUGACUUUAUCAGCUUUCUGCACUUUUUUCCUAUCUUUUUUAAUGCACUUUUCGUUUAACAAGUCAACAUCAAUUUCUUUUGUUGUAAAAGAGUCAUUGGAAGGUGGCUUUCUUUUCGGAGAAAGUGUUUAUAGCCUUUGACUUCUGCAAUCGGAGAGAUUGAGGUCUGCAGCGUAGAUCCUUCGGGGUUAGAUGCAUUUGUGCUAAGCUAUAGCCUUUCAUAGACAACUUGUUGGCUAUGAUCAGUCAUGUAGCUUACUCGCUUAUGUCAUUUUACCUACGCUUAGGAUGUUGACGAUCAGCUGAGCGCG
rnacentral:rRNA from 1 species